UACGUAGGUGGCGAGCGUUGUCCGGAUUUACUGGGCGUAAAGGGAGCGUAGGCGGACUUUUAAGUGAGAUGUGAAAUACCCGGGCUUAACUUGGGUGCUGCAUUUCAAACUGGAAGUCUAGAGUGCAGGAGAGGAGAAUGGAAUUCCUAGUGUAGCGGUGAAAUGCGUAGAGAUUAGGAAGAACACCAGUGGCGAAGGCGGCUUCCUGGUCUGUAACUGACACUGAGGCGCGAAAGCGUGGGGAGCAAACAGGAUUAGAUACCCCCGUACGUCCCUCGA
rnacentral:rRNA from 1 species